GACGAACGCUGGCGGCGUGCUUAACACAUGCAAGUCGAACGGAGUGGCGAACGGGUGAGUAACACGUGGGUGAUCUGCCUUGCACUCUGGGAUAAGCUUGGGAAACUGGGGCUAAUACCGGAUAGUGCAAGAUGAGCUCGCGGCCUAUCAGUUUGGUGGUGGGGUAAUGGCCUACCAAGGCGUCGACGGGUAGUCGGCUGGAGAGGGUGUACGGCCACAGUGGGACUGAGAUACGGCCCAGACUCCUACGGGAGGCAGCAGGGGGGAAUAGUGAACAAUGGGCGGAAGCCUGAUGCAGCGACGCCGCGUGGGGGAUGACGGCCUUCGGGUUGUAAACUCCUUUCGACAGGGACGCGGUACCUGUAUAAGAAGCACCGGCUAACUACGUGCCAGCAGCCGCGGUAAUUC
rnacentral:rRNA from 1 species